GCCGACGCGGCGUGACCUGCCACGACCCGGCGGCCCCCCGGAGAAGGGCGACUGUUACCGAGUUUCCUGAUGAGCCCGCUCAAGACCAUCGCCUUUCCUCAGUCUGCAGCCACCGGAGAAUUAAACCGCCGCGCCACAGAGUCCGGCUGCGAUCAAUGUCCCCCAGAAACUCGGCCCGCGAGACAAUCCAGUUUAGGAGGGUAUGCUGGUCAGAUUUUUGUCACUGAAACAAAUACCUGAGGAAAAAACAACUUAAAGAAGGAAUGAUUUAUUUGGCUCAUGGUUCCAGAGGUUCCAUCUGUAGGCUGCUGACUCCAUAGCUCUGAGCCUGAGGUGAGACAGAACAUCAUAGUGG
rnacentral:lncRNA from 1 species